ACUACCAUAAAUAACUACCAUACAUGAGACACAAUCCAAUACACAAAUUAUCUAUGGAUAGCCUUGCCAAGCCUCACCCAACCCCGGGUGAGGAGGACGAAAAACUCUAGGAGCCCCUAUCCUACAACGCUGAUACUAGACCUCCAGACUUUCCUAUCAAGGAUCAUGUCCUCGGAAACCCGCAUUCUAGCCAUGUCAUGCCUAAUCACCUCUCCCCCCAUAAAUGAGACACAAUCCAAAACACAAAUCAUGUAUGAAUAGCUCUAUCAAGUCUCACCCAACCCCGGGCGAGUAGUACGAAAAACUAUAGGGGCCCCUAUCCUACAACCCUGAUACUAGACCUCCAGACUUUCCUAUCAAGGGCCAUGUCCUCGGAAACCUGUAUUCUAGCCAUGUCAUGCCUAAUCACCUCUCCCCAAUACCUCUUAGGCCUCCCUUUGCCUCGCCGAACGCCGACCAUCGC
rnacentral:lncRNA from 1 species